rnacentral:antisense_RNA from 1 species
UUCAGUACGACAUUGCUCACAUUGCUUCCAGUAUUUUUCGCCCGCUCAACGUAGCGGGCUUUUUUU